ACCUAAUAAACCUGCAUGGAGAUCUGGGAGGAUUUGUCAGGUGUAAUCAAUAUUGUAAUAGCAAUGUGGAAGUUUCACCAUUAUGUUUGACAUUUGUGAUUUAGCAGAUGCUGUUAUCCAGAGAAAUUUACAGGAGCGUUUAGGGUUCAGUACCUUGCUCAAAGGCACGUCGACAGAUUUUUCACCUCGUCGGCUCGGAGAUUGGAAACCAGCAAGCUUUCAGUUACUGUCCCAACGGUCUUAACCACUAGGCCCCCCCCCCUACCAUGUUGAUUACACCUCUCCAAUCCCAGAAAGUGUGUAGGGUGUAGGGCUCUGUUUGGGAUAGGGCCAUAAACUCACUCAAGAGAAAUGACCAGACAACAGACAACAUCAGUUAAAUCACUGUUAGUCUUUUAUUGAGGGUUGUACCCAAGUUAUACAGCUUUGUGUUCCGACACUACGGCCAGAAGGUUUACAAACAGUUAUCAAUCUGUCUAGCGCUCGGUCCGUCGGCCCUGGAGACCAACCACCUUAUAACACUACACCUUUAGUACACAUUCUCUUAAGAGCACUAAAAUAAUCACAAAAAAAAGGGAAAAAAAAAAAAUAUAUAUAUCAUUAUUAUUAUUAUGAAAUAAAAACAAUGACAACAGAACAACAGCAUCAUGGUGGUCGUCGUGGUGACGAUGGGAGGAGACAUGGAUGACAGUGGGAGGAGCAGGCUGGAGUUUCUACCCCAAGGUAGCACGUCACAUCAGGCCUCUGUUACCAAAUAAGGAUUGUCCUUCAGAAAGUGCAGUUCCCCCCCCCCCUCCCCCGAAGAAACCACCCUGCCCCCCCCCAUCCUCCUGUCAGGAAGACACAACGCCAAAACACCCUCCCUGUAACUUUAAAGUAAGUCUUUAUUAUUAGUAAAUAUUAUAGACGUUGGGUUGUUUUCUCUGUACAUCGUUUCUUAUCAGCCUCCCGAAGCAAUGUGCAUAUUAGGUUCACAGGUCAGGAGAAUAUUCUACUCUGCAGCUCGAGGUCUGAGACUUCCAGCUGAUAGAAUUCUCAGUGAUAGAACGUCUCUAUAAAGGAGAGGAGAGGCUUCUAGAAUUCUCAGUGAUAGAACGUCUCUAUAAAGGAGAGGAGAGGCUUCUAGAAUUCUCAGUGAUAGAACGUCUCUAUAAAGAAGAGGCUUCUAGCUUCUAGAAUUCUCAGUGAUAGAACGUCUCUAUAAAGGAGAGGAGAGGCUUCUAGAAUUCUCAGUGAUAGAACGUCUCUAUAAAGAAGAGGCUUCUAGCUUCUAGAAUUCUCAGUGAUAGAACGUCUCUAUAAAGAAGAGGCUUCUAGCUUCUAGAAUUCUCAGUGAUAGAACGUCUCUAUAAAGGAGAGGCUUCUAGAAUUCUCAGUGAUAGAACGUCUCUAUAAAGGAGAGGCUUCUAGCUGAUAGAAUUCUCAGUGAUAGAACGUCUCUAUAAAGGAGAGGAGAGGCUUCUAGAAUUCUCAGUGAUAGAACGUCUCUAUAAAGGAGAGGCUUCUAGAAUUCUCAGUGAUAGAACGUCUCUAUAAAGGAGAGGAGAGGCUUCUAGAAUUCUCAGUGAUAGAACGUCUCUAUAAAGGAGAGGCUUCUAGAAUUCUCAGUGAUAGAACGUCUCUAUAAAGGAGAGGCUUCUAGAAUUCUCAGUGAUAGAACGUCUCUAUAAAGGAGAGGCUUCUAGCUUCUAGAAUUCUCAGUGAUAGAAUGUCUCUAUCAAAAGCAGCAGUAAAUCUAUGGUUCCAGCAGUCCUCAUCUGUGUCCCAACAGAAACCAGCGGGGGGGGGGGAGGACUUUGUAAAUCUAACCUUCUGCGUGUGGCUGGUUGGUUGGCUAGUAGGUAGAAAAGGUGAUGGCACACAUGUUUUUAGGAAUACUGUGAGCCCUGGCUGCACCGUAGUCCCUACGUAGGGCAAUCCCUGUCUAUGAGUCCCUGGUUAUAAGUAGUGCACUGACAUAGGAGACCAGUGUCUUGUCUGGAACACUGCUCAGGUCUCCACUGUGGACUGGGCUUUAGAUAGAAACCCCAAAUGGACAUGGAAGGCUGGAUAACACCAUUGCAUAGUCUCUUUGUGCACCCCACUCCCCUCGUUACCCUCCCUAAUCCUCCCC
rnacentral:lncRNA from 1 species